AUCCUUCCAGAAUUAAACCCUAUGCUUGGUAAUAUGGAUCUGUGGGACCAAACCUGUAUCAUCUUUCCUGCGAGCCUCUGUCAACCUCAAUGAACAGUAAACCUCUCCCUUUCAUCACCAUAACUCAUUUCCAGGAUCAACUGUUACCUUAUUUGGCUUGUUGUGACGGCAGAAUAAGAAACAAAUCUCCAGAAGAGGCUGAUCGAUUAGAAACCGUCCAGAGGGUAACAACAGAAACAGCCAGUGGUCUGGAAAACAUAAUCUACUAGGGAAGAUUGAGUGAGUGGCAUAAUUUCACCUGGAAAAAGAAAGACUGAGGGGGUGUGACAGACUUCAACAAAUAUGAAAAAAUUAUGUCAAGGAAGGAGGGAAUAAUCUGUGCUUUGUGUUCAAUUCAUACAAAUAAUCUGUUCUCAAGGGUAGAUAGACCAAAGGGUAAUCAAUUUAAAUUGUAGCACAGAAGAUGUCAAUUAAGAAUAAUUGGAGGUGGACUGCGUGGCGAGGUCAAGGGGAUUCAUCCCCUUUUUCCUUUUGUGUUCCAUUGUUUUGAAGCUUUUUCCUCGUGCUGGUCCUGCAACAGAGGAUGUGAAUGGGUUGUAGGAGGAAUAUAGUCUGUCUAGAGAGUCGCAAGGUGGAGGGAAUUUGGCCUUUUCGUCCCACUUCCCUCUCUGUUCCAGCAACCUCUUUAGUGGGGCCGGGGGCGAUGUACAAUAUUGCUGCUGCUGUGCCAUGAGUCUGGAUGUGGCUGACCCAGAGACCCUUUCAGGAUACAGGAAUUCAGCAGUGGGACAUGCAGUCCCAGGCCUACUUGAUCUUGUCCAUUUGGCACUGCUGGAGGAAUAACAAGUUUCUUCCCGUCAUGCACCAUUCUGGGAUACAUCAUGACAGAGAAAUCUCAAAGCCCAGGUCAAUUAUAACAGAAGAUGUGUAGCACCUCUGCCCCCACAGCGUCUUCUGGGGAUCCACUUGGCAAAAUGAUAUAAAACUAUUUCUGAGGACUUCCAUGAUCUGGUGCUACUUAGAACUAAGUCACCGGCAAAAUAAAGUGGAGUGGCUUUGGUGGAAAGGAUCAGACAUGUCUUCUGCACAGUCCUGCUCCAGACAGCCCAUGGUCUGCAGAAGGGCAGAGGUCUGCCUUC